rnacentral:piRNA from 1 species
UGAACACGCAAACCACGGUGCUAUGUGAUC